rnacentral:rRNA from 1 species
AGAUUGAACGCUGGCGGCAUGCCUUACACAUGCAAGUCGAACGGUAACGCGGGGCAACCUGGCGACGAGUGGCGAACGGGUGAGUAAUGCAUCGGAACGUGCCCAGUAGUGGGGGAUAGCCCGGCGAAAGCCGGAUUAAUACCGCAUACGACCUACGGGUGAAAGCGGGGGACUCGCAAGAGCCUCGCGCUAUUGGAGCGGCCGAUGUCAGAUUAGCUAGUUGGUGGGGUAAAAGCCUACCAAGGCGACGAUCUGUAGCUGGUCUGAGAGGACGACCAGCCACACUGGGACUGAGACACGGCCCAGACUCCCUACGGGAGGCAGCAGGUGGGGAAUUUUGGACAGUGGGCGCGAAGCCUGACUCCAGCCAGUCGCGCGUGGCGGGAAGAAGGUCCGUUCGGGUUGUAACCG